rnacentral:ribozyme from 1 species
ACAGUUUUUUUUUUUUUUUUUUUUUUUUUUUUUUUCCUCCAACCGUG